rnacentral:rRNA from 1 species
UACGAAGGGGGCUAGCGUUGCUCGGAAUUACUGGGCGUAAAGCGCACGUAGGCGGAUUGUUAAGUCGGGGUGAAAUCCUGGAGCUCAACUCCAGAACUGCCUUCGAAACUGGCGAUCUUGAGUCCGGGAGAGGUGAGUGGAACUGCGAGUGUAGAGGUGAAAUUCGUAGAUAUUCGCAAGAACACCAGUGGCGAAGGCGGCUCACUGGCCCGGUACUGACGCUGAGGUGCGAAAGCGUGGGGAGCAAACAGG